UACGGAGGGUGCAAGCGUUAUCCGGAUUCACUGGGUUUAAAGGGUGCGUAGGUGGGUCUGUAAGUCAGUGGUGAAAUCUCCGAGCUUAACUCGGAAACUGCCAUUGAUACUAUAGGUCUUGAAUUAUCUGGAGGUGAGCGGAAUAUGUCAUGUAGCGGUGAAAUGCUUAGAUAUGACAUAGAACACCAAUUGCGAAGGCAGCUGACGAAACUAUAACUGACACUGAGGCUCGAAAGUGCGGGGAUCAAACAGG
rnacentral:rRNA from 1 species